UUCAUUUUCACUGAUUCUCCACCUGUCCCUUGCCCUCUUCUCCUCCCAACCUCUUUGUCGCCGAUCGCCAUCUCCGCCCUAGCAAUGUCAUAGUCGUUGGCCAUGUGGGAGCCGCUGUCACAGCCUUUAGUUAUGCCAAGCCCAAUGACCGAUCCACCUCUCAUUCUUCAUUGCGUCGUGCCCUAUAUGAUCACCGAUGUCGCUGGUCUUUGUGAGAGUUGCGAAUCUAGUCUCCACCGUCGUCUCCUAAUGUUGCCGACGCCGAGCUCUUUUCUGAUCCAUCACUGUUGCUGCCUCUCGUUUCUUGUAUUGGUUGGGUUUCCUUCACAAGCAUGGGUUGUCGUCGUGGCCCCUCUCUGGCCACGAGUCUCCAUCUCCCCUUUGGUUGUGCCCUAGCUUGGAUCCAUCGUCAUUGCCGCUCUCUUCCAUCCCACAGCCAUAGCUGACCACCAGAAAAGAAGAGGUUUUUGAUUCAAGUUAGGAGCCCAUAUUAGAAGACAUUCAGUGCGACCUACACAUAAUGUUAGCAGGUAGAUGAUGUGUCGUGUCAUUUGGAAGUCCUGGCUGCCAGUCUCACGUCACACUCGAGAUUGUGUUUUCCAUGUUGUUUCUAUUGCUAUUUUUGUUCUAGUUUUUAUAUUUAGUUGUGCAAUAAUUAAUUUUAUUAUGGUUUUCGUUUUGUUUUGUGAUAUAUUUUUAUUCAGUCAUGGUAUCUAUGGUUGAGUUAAGUUAUACUGGUAUGCAGUGGUGUUAGUUUCUAUAUUUUUUGGAGCAGAUUGGGUGAAUCCCUCCCUUGUGUAUGUUUUCUAUUGUUUGUUGUGGGAUUGUGUGUAUCCUUUUGCCUAUUGUUGGUAUGUUUGUUUUUAUAUUCCA